GACGGACCACACGAACGUUAUUCGGAAUUACUGGGCUUAAAGGGUGCGUAGGCUGUGCAGAAAGUUGGGUGUGAAAUCCCUCGGCUUAACCGAGGAAUUGCGCCCAAAACUACUGUGCUUGAGGAAGAUAGAGGUAAGCGGAACUUAGGGUGGAGCGGUGAAAUGCGUUGAUAUCCUAAGGAACACCGGUGGCGAAAGCGGCUUACUGGGUCUUCUCUGACGCUGAGGCACGAAAGCUAGGGUAGCGAACGGG
rnacentral:rRNA from 1 species